GACGAACGCUGGCGGCGUGCUUAAUACAUGCAAGUCGAACGGAAAGGCCCUGCUUUUGUGGGGUGCUCGAGUGGCGAACGGGUGAGUAACACGUGAGUAACCUGCCCUUGACUUUGGGAUAACUUCAGGAAACUGGGGCUAAUACCGGAUAGGAGCUCCUGCUGCAUGGUGGGGGUUGGAAAGUUUCGGCGGUUGGGGAUGGACUCGCGGCUUAUCAGCUUGUUGGUGGGGUAGUGGCUUACCAAGGCUUUGACGGGUAGCCGGCCUGAGAGGGUGACCGGCCACAUUGGGACUGAGAUACGGCCCAGACUCCUACGGGAGGCAGCAGAGGGGAAUAUUGCACAAUGGGCGGAAGCCUGAUGCAGCAACGCCGCGUGCGGGAUGACGGCCUUCGGGUUGUAAACCGCUUUCGCCUGUGACGAAGCGUGAGUGACGGUAAUGGGUAAAGAAGCACCGGCUAACUACGUG
rnacentral:rRNA from 1 species